AAACCAAACCCUACAAACAAGUUAUUUUUUUUGACAAAAAUCCUGCAAACUUGUUUUUCACUUCUCUCUCGGUCUCAAAAUCAGUGACCACGCACAAACAAAACAACCACUCAAACCUCCCUUCUUCCUUAGUUCCGGCCGUUCCUCAGCUUCCACCCGUCGUCGUCGUCGUUUCACCUUAAAGCCUUGUCACCGCCCUACUUCCCCGCCCCGUUCACCCCUCUGUCACACACUGUCGCAAUACUCCUUUUUCUUGUUCCUAGCCAUUGUGCCGUUUGUGCAAUUCUCACACUACUUAUAGCUAACUCAAACUGAACUAACUCUUCUGAAUCCUAAACAAAGCUUUUGCUUCUUCUUCUGGUGCUUCUUAGUUUCCUUCUUAACACAAGAUGACUCAUCCCAAAGCAAAAACCAAAUCAAAGAAAAAGACUGGCGUUGUCGACUUUAAGAAAAGAAAGGUCAAGAUUGGGAGGAAACUACCACCGCCUAAGAAUUCAACAAAUACCGAAGUUAAAUCUAAAGCAAUUAUUCUGCCGGAGCAGAGUGUAGCGGCAGAUAAGGCAGGUUUAGCUGUAAACAAGAAAGGUUUGACUUUAAAAGAACUUCUUCAGCAAACAUCUCAUCACAAUGCAAAAGUUCGAAGAGAUGCACUGAUGGGUAUUAAGGAUCUAUUCAGCAAACAUCCAGAAGAACUGACGUUGCACAAGUAUCGUGUUGUGGAAAAACUUCGUGAACGCAUUGGUGAUGAGGAUAAAGUGGUUCGGAAAUCAUUACAUGAUCUUUUUAAACUAGCGAUUUUUCCUGGUUGUAAACAGGAUAAUCAAGAGCUGAUCACUUCUUUAAUGAUGGCUUACAUAUUUAAUGCAAUGACACAUUUGGCAGUUGAUAUUCGGAUCACGGCAUUUGAUUUCUUAGACCUGACUCUUGAGUUUUAUCCUCCUUCAUUUUCUUCUUAUGCAGAAAAGAUUUUUCAGAAUUAUGAGGAUAUCCUAAGGAAGAACCAGUACCAUUUACAGGACAAAGAAAAGCUAAAGGAUGCUUUGGCCGGAUUAGUUCGCUGCCUGUCACUCUUGCCAUGGAAUAUAGAAGAAACUGAUUUGCAAAAUAAGGAUGAUAUUGGACAAAGGGUAUUGCAUGCUUUUGAAGCUGAUACCUCUAUGAGCUCUACUGGUUUUUCUCAUAUCAUAAUGAAACUGAAGGAUAUAGUGCUAGUAUUAGUAAAUAGUUUUCAGGAAUUUAUUGCAUUGUUUAAUGCUAGAGAUAAUCUCGAAGGGAAGUCCUUUGGUUGUAUGUCAUCCAUCCUUCAAAGCAUAGAUCUUAUAGUCAGGUCCUUUGUUUAUGGGCUUGAUAAUAAGUUGGAAUGCACAAGUUCUCAAGGUGGAGCCAAUGUGCCUGUAUGGGAUGUAUCAGUCUCUUCUGCAUUCUUGAAGAAAUUAUUUCCUCUUUUUCCCUUUCAUCAAGAUGGUCUUCCACAAAAGGAUUAUGAUAGGUUGCUUGACUUGAACAUGGUCAUGGCAAAAAUAUUUUUUGAAUUAAAUGAAUGGAUCUGCCUUCCUCCUUUUUUGUUGGAAAAAUUUCUAGAAUUUCUUGAGAAUGCACUGCUUGGGAAGUUCGGCACAGCUGCAAAGUCUGGUAAGGCUGUCUGGGAAAAACAUCUAGUUCAGCUCCUUCCUUUUAUUCCAAAAUUUAUUUCACGUGGAGCAAGCGAUUGGACGUCUCGGCUUCUUUGGGCAUUUACCCAGACAUUCAAGGGAAGUAAGCCAGGCUCCUUAUUGAAAUUGGCCUGUCUCUCUGCAAUUGAAGAUAUGCUAACUCCUAUUCAGAGCAUGCUUUCCCCGGAGACAAACAAUCCAGGAAAUGUAGACCUUCAAGAAGCUUUAUGUGCAUGGAUCGAAGAGCUUCCUAUGUUGCUUAUCCAGCUUGGUGAUAAACACCCAGCCUCCUCCUUGGCUUCAGUAAGGCUUCAACUUCGUAUUGGACAGCGUGCUUUGUUGAACUCAGCACUUGUUUGCGUGUAUGACAGCAUGCAAAACUCAUUGCAAGAUUUUUAUUCUACUUGUCAAGGAGAAAAUAUAUGCUAUGGUCCUUUUGUCAGACUUCCUAGAGAAUCUCAAGAGCUUUCUUUAUGUUGCCUUUACUAUUUCUCUCAUUUAGACCUACCUUUUCUAAAGUCAAUAGCUGGCUGUUGCCUAAGUCCUGAUCUAGAUCCCUAUGUGUUAUUUCGCACCAUAGAGAUUCUUCAGUCAGCCUAUAAAGAUGGACAUAUAAAUAUUGCAGAUUACCUGAGUGUCUUCAUCACCUUAGUCUUGCGUUUCAAAGUUUCUUCUGUUGCUGGUUUGGAGGGUGAGGCACGAUGUAAAACUUUGAAGUCAAUGACAACGGUUUUUUGCUCAUACAUGGAACAGAUUGGCAACAGUUCUCUUGUUCUACAGAUUAUAGAGAAAGUGGUAGUUGAUCAAAUAAUGCUAAAGCCUUCUUUGGACAAUAGUUGUUCUCUCCUAAGAAUGCUUGUUACGGUUGAUUCUAAGCCCACAAGACUUUCUGACCAAAGCAUUAUCACUCUAGGCCCUUGUCUUUCUGAAUAUCUAAUGGAUGCUGUGCAGCGCAUUCCAGAAGAUGGUGAGGAGCAGAGCAUUACCUCCAAUCAUUUAAGUCCCAUUUAUUAUCUCCUACCUUGUUUUUUCUUGUUUGAUCGGUGCCAUCAACUUAUGGGUUAUGUAUUGAAGACAAUGGGAUCAGCUAUAACUGAAAGUAGUUUCUCACUUGAAAAUGAUAAUGGCACUCAACAUACGAGGAACUGCUUGACUAGGGUAAACACUGUUGCAUCUGUACUUGUGUUGAUGCACAAGGAUGCAAAAUUGCAACAAAUUAUGUCCGAAUUCAAGGAAGAUAUUGAUAACAUCAUACAAAAAGUUAUUUCCUUACAGACUUCAAAGCAAAUUAGUCCGACAAUUGAAGAAAGGCAUAAAAUAAAAUGUGCAUUUGAGCGACUGAAUGUUUUAACACGAUAACAAUGAUCAAGAAGGGUAUUUUUUAGUGAGAAACUUGUGCACACAUUGUGGGCAUUGUUCCUCUAUUAUCAUAUAUUCACAGGCAGACUUGAACUGAGCCAAAAUGCUACUCAGUUUCUGAACUGGUUGAUAUGGUGGAACUUGGAAACUUAGGUUACUUUCUUUUCCCAAGGUUAUUCUGCAUGCAGUUCUGAUGUCUUGCUAGCAGGCGGUUUGUUAAGACGCCGUCGAUUGUCAGUAACAUGUAUAGUUCCAUCAGUUAGCCUCUUGUGAAUCACAUUAGUACUGUGAUAGUGCCACCUCGUCCUCAGUAUUUAUUGUACACUUGAAGAAUUAAAAUGACUAACGCGUUAUAUUUACUGCCCAUAUUUUUUUACUGUAAUUUACUGCCCAUAGUUAAGUAAUAGGGAUGUUUUAUUUUGGAUACUUAUUUGUUCAAGGUUUGAUUAAUAAUUUGUCACACUUUUUGUUUUAAGUUAAGUUGGACAAUUUUGAAGCUCUA